UAGAUGGCUGCCUUCUGGUGUGGGCGCUUAGCUGUUAACUAAGAUUUAGUAGGAUCGAGGCCUGCCCAUCUAG
rnacentral:tRNA from 4 species